rnacentral:snRNA from 3 species
AGCUUUGUGCAGUGGCAGUAUUGUAGCCAAUGAGGUUUAUCUGAGAUGUGAUUAUUGCUAACUGAAACAGAUUCAUAGUGCACAGAGAGUGGGAUUUGUAGUUAGCUACAUCUAGAUUUUGAAAUCCCCACCCCACUAUUUACCAGUUGGAUAAACUUGGAG